UACGAAGGGUGCAAACGUUGCUCGGAAUUAUUGGGCGUAAAGCGCGCGUAGGCGGCCCUGUUAGUCCGCUGUAAAAGUCAAAGGCUCAACCUUUGAAUGCCGGUGGAUACUGCAGGGCUAGAGUCCGGAAGAGGCGAGUGGAACUCCUGGUGUAGCGGUGGAAUGCGCAGAUAUCAGGAAGAACACCGACGGCGAAGGCAGCUCGCUGGGACGGUACUGACGCUGAGGCGCGAAAGCGUGGGGAGCGAACAGG
rnacentral:rRNA from 1 species